UUGUUUUAAAUAUAAAGCGUCUUUUACCUCCUUGGCUAAUUUUAGUCCAGGUAUUUUAUUCUUUUUGAUAAAAUUGUAAAUGGGAUUGUUUUCUUAAUUUCCCUCAAUCUGAGUUUGUCAUUAGCCUAUAGUAAUGCAAUGCAGCAGAUUUCCAUAUAUUGAUUUUGUAUCCUGCAACUUUAGUGAAUCCAUUUAUUGAUUUUAUUUAACAGGAAGAUAUAAAAUUCUAAAUUUACCUAAAAAUAUACUGAGCAACAGCUCUCAAAGUUAAAAUUAAAUCUAAAAUCAUAAAUGGAGAUUUAAAAAACUCUCUCAGUAACUGACAGAACAAAAAUAUCAGUAAUGCUAUAGAAUAUUUAUACCAUAUAUUUAAAAAUGUAUGCAUAGAACACUGCAUCCAACAGUCAUAGAGUAGUUUUAUCCUCUAGUGCACAUGGAACAUCUAACAAAGUUGAUCACAUGCUGACCUUAAAAAAGUCUUAUCAUAGUCUUAAUAACAGACUUGACAAGAAUAUUACCAGAAAAAGGAAAAUUAUGGAAUAAUCCACCUGAUAAAUAUAGAAACAUAAAGCCUCAAACAAAAUAUUGGCAUAUCAAAUAAGGCAUAUUUUAAAUAAUACAAGUUAGCUUUGUCCAAGGAAUAAAAGGUGGAUUUAAGAUUCAAAGUCAAUCAAUAUAAUUUACCAUGUUAAGAAAGAAGAGCAGAAAACUACAUAAUUAUAGCAAAUGUGGGGGAAGAAUCUCAUAAAAUUUAGCACCUUUUCAUUAAUAAAAAACUAACCCUAACCCUAACCUCCUACACUGCUGGUGGGAAUGCAGUUUGGUGCAGCCACUGUGGAAAAUAGUACAGAGAUUCCUCAAAAGACUAGGCAUAGACUUACCAUAUGACCCAGGAAUCCCACUCCUGGGCAUAUAUCCAGAAGGAACCCUACUUCAAAAAGACAUCUGCACCCCAAUGUUCACAGCAGCACUAUUUACAAUAGCCAAGACAUGGAAACAGACUAAAUAUCUAUCAGCAGAUGACUGGAUAAAGAAGAUGUGGUAUAUUUCUACAAUGAAAGACUAUUCAGCCAUAAAAAUGACAACAUAACACCAUUUGCAGCAACAUGGAUGUCCCUAGAGAAUGUCAUUCUAAGUAAAGUAAGCCAGAAAAAGAAAGAAAAAUACCAUAUGAGAUCGCUUAUAUGUAAAAUCUAAAAAAAAAAGAUGAAGAAUAAAGAAAGAAAAAAACAAAUGAACAUAAAUACAAAACAGAAACAGACUCAUAGACAUAGAAUACAAACUUGUGGUUACCGGGGGGGUGGGGGUAGGGGUGGGAAGGGACAGACUGGUAGUUUGAAAUUUGUAGAUACUGACAGGCAUAUGUAGAAUAGAUAAACAAGAUUAUACUGUAUAGCACAGGGAAAUAUAUACAAGAUCUUGUGGUAGCUCACAGUGAAAAAGAAUGUGACAGUGAAUAUAUGUAUGUUCAUGUAUAACUGAAAAAUUGUGCUCUGCACUGGAAAUCAACACAACAGUGUAAACUGACUAUAACUCAAUAAAAAAAAUUUUUUUUAAGAAAUACUUAGUAAAAUAAGGACAAAAGUGAAUUUCCUUAAUCUGAACUAUAGUAACAGCAACAACAAAAAAAUCUCAAGGAAUCAUCAUAUAUGAUGAUGAGAUACUGAAGUCUUCCCCCUGAGAUUAGGACUGAGACAACUACCACUUCUAUUUAAUUUAUAAUGAAGGUCUUAUUCACUGUAAUAAAUCAAGGAAAGAAAAAAUACAUAAAACCAGAAAUAAAUAAAACCCUCAACCCCACAGAUGAUGUUAUUGUUUAUAAAUAAAAUCCAAGAGUGAAUUUACUAAAGUUGCCAGAUACGUAACAUACAGAAACCAAUUGUAUUUCUAUAUGUAGCAACAAAAAAUUGCAAAAUAACAGUUUUAAAUAAUAGUAGUCAUAGUCUCAUCAGAAUACAACAAAUAGCUAGGGAUAAAUCUGUAAAAGACACGUGAAACCUCUACAGAGAACACUGCAGCACAUUGUUGAAAUAAAAGACUAUCUCAGUUAGCGUGGCAGAGCAUCCUAUAAUCACAUAUUAAAAAAAUUCAGUAUUGUAAAAAUGUCAGUUCUUAAAUUGAUCUACAGAUUCAGUGCAGUUGCAAUAAAAAUCCUAGCAGGUAUUUUUUAAUGGAAAUUAAUAAGCUGAUUCUAAAAUUUGUACAGAAGUUUAAGUACCAAGAAUGGCCAAGACAAUCUUGACAAAUUACCAUAAAGAGAAUAGAGAUAAUAGAAUUAGAGAAUAUACAGGAGUCAAUACUUACAAAGUUAAACGAUUGGGCAGUUUGUGCAAGAACAGAUAAAUAGCCCAAUGGAAAAACAUACCAUUUUAGUUGGAUCCAGCUUCAGGAAGCCGUUUGAUUUGUGAUAGAAAAGUAACACUGGGAGGAGUUCAAUGACUAAGUCCAUCCUCUUGGCCUUAUACUCUCUGCUCAGCAACCUGGGGUAAACUGGUAAGACUGUGGCUUGUCUUCUGUAAGCUCAUGGCUUGUAUAUGAAAACAAAGCUAAAAGAUUGAGAAUCUGAAUGCAUUGGAUCACUUUUGGUAGAAGCAGUGGAUGGAGAGAAAUCUACGUGUCAUUUUCCAUUACCUUUUUAUGUUGAAAUAAUUGAAACCUUUCAGUAAAGCUGAAAGUAUUGUACAAAGAAGUACAUACAGUUCAUCUCAGUUCCCCAAUUGUUAACGUAUUAUCACUUUUUAUUUUAAUAUUCUCUCCAGUUUUUCCCUAAAUUAUAUAGCAAACAUGCUGUCUUCUUACUUAUAUUUUAGUGUGUAUUUCCUAAAACCAAGGACACUUUGUAAUGGGUUCAACUGUUUCCCCUAAGUCCAUAUGUUGAAUCCCUAACCCUCAGCGUCACUGCAUUUGAUAACACAGCCAUUAAGAAGGUGAUUAAGAUUAAAGGAGGGCAUAAAUGUGGGACCCGAAUCCAAAAGGACUGACACCUUAUAAGAGGAGGAAGAGAGAGCAGGAGCGUCCAUGCUCACUGAGGAAAGGCCUUGUUGGGGGCACAAUAAGAUGGAUGUCUGCAAAAUAGGAAGAGAAGUCUAACAAGAAAUCAGCCUUGCUGGCAACUUCAUCUUGGACUUCUGGCCUCUAGAACAGUGAGAAAUUAAAUUUCUGUUGUUUAUAUCUGUCCCCAGUCCCCGGGGCUGCCUCUUCCCCAUCCUCAGAUGAAGGUCUCUCCUCCUGCUACCACGACACCGCCUCCGCCUGCACAGCCCCGGCCAUGGCUCUGCAGCUGCGGCCCCUCUGCGCCCCAGGCCAGUCUCUACGCUUGCGUGCCUGUGCUCGCGGAUCCUGCCUUCUUUCUUCACCUGAGGCCGCCGCUGCCUCUCCUUUCUGCAGCCAUGGAGUCCUCCACUUUUGCCUUGGUGCCUGUUUUCGCCCAGCUGAGCAACUUCCAGAAUCUCCUCCCAGCUGUUGGCGCAGCCUCCUUCAUUGCCAUCCGUGCCCAGCACCCGCACCACAGCCAUGUCACUCCUGGCGACCCUGGGGCUGGACCUGGACAGGACCCUGGUCCCAGCUAGUGGGCUGGGCUGGCUCAUAGACUAUGGGAGCCACCCCCCCCCCCAGGCCCCUGCCCUCCUGGGCCCCUAUGAGGUCCUUGGGGGAGCCCUGGAGGGCGGGCUUCCGGGUGGGGGAGCUCCCCUGGUAGAUGAUGGCUUCCCUGGCUGGAUGACCGAGCUGGUCGACUUUACAGCCCUUCCCCCUUUGGAGCCCCCUUGCCCUCAGGUGCCCUCCCCUCAUCUUCCCAGAUCUAGAAGCUAUGCUUCCCUCCUAUAAAGGAACUUGAGCAGAUGGAAGACUUCUUCCUUGAUGCUCCCUCCUCCCACCAUCAUCCCGAAGUCCUAAACCGCUGCUGCCACCGCCCCUCCCCUUCUCACCAUUGACCUCCCCCAGGCCCCAGCCCUGGAUACCCUUGACUUGCUAGCCAUCUACUGUUGCAGGGAGGCUGGGCCAGGGGACUCUGGGUUGGCAACCCCGCCCCCAUCCCCACAACCCCUUUGUCCACCUCCACCCUCUCGCCCAGCCCCCUACCCCAAUCCUGCCACCGCCCACGGGGACCACGAGCAAAAGGAGAGGGACCAGACCACAUCAGCGGCUCUGAGGUACCUGCCAAGGAAGCGCCCAGAGGGCGAGGCCCUGGAGGGCGGGUGCCAGGGGCUGAAGACUCGGAACCGGGAGCUGAGGGAGACGGCUGAGUAGGCGGAGUGGGAAAUCCAGUAUGUCAAUGGGCUGCUCAUCUAAGUGUACAAGGCUUGAAGCAAGGGAACCCGGAACAGCUAGCCAGGCAGGGGCUUUGUGCGGUAGGGGGCGCUGGUCUUCCGCUCUGGCUCCCUAGUCUUUCUGGGGCUGAGGUGGGAGGGUCCAUCCCGCUGUCAUCCCCCUGCAUCCAGCUUCCCAUCAAACCCUUCCCUCCCUCCUCCCACCCCCCUUUCUCUCUCCUCUUUGAUCCUUGUCUCCUCUCGUUUACAUUCUGAUUUGGCUCCCCUCUUCUCUCCCCAGAAUCAAGGCAUGUUUGGCCUCAGUCAACAUGUACAUCCUUAUGUAACAGCUGAGGAACAGAGCCCCACAGGGAAUUUGGGGAGCAGGGGAGAGCUUGGAAACUUAGUCUCCCAAACAGGGAAAUGAGGCCAGGAAGCUCUGCAGAAUGACGAUGCAUAGGAGGACAGGGGAACCAUCUGGGGACUAAGCCAAGAAAAGUUCUAAGAAUGGUGCCCAUAGAAUGUAAGCCAAACAAGCCAGGUGACCUUGGAGAACUACAUUUGGGGGAUGGAACCAAAAGGUGGCCAAGUUCGCAGAGCAGAUGGAUAUACAGGCAGAUGGGGAGGUGGGCUGGGUGGAGAACAGCCGUUAUUGGUGAUUGGGUGUUCAUUUUAGCUCUGGGAGAAAAUCAGUGUUGUGUGAAGUUGUUGGGGUGAGGGCCACAUCAAGGUGAGGGAGGGGUAGGGACUGAUCAUUUUUGGGGUAUUGUGAGUGGAAAUAAAAUGAAGCAUUUCCUCUGGGAAAAAAAAAUCUGUUGUUUAAGGAACUCAAUCUGUAAUAUUUUGACAGUAAAUUAUGACUGUACUAGGAGACUAACACACUCCCCUAUUACAGCACAGCCAUUAACAUCAGGACAUUAUUAGUAUUCAUACAGUACCACUAUCUAAUCCACAGAGCCAUUCAGGUUUUCUGAUUUCCCAACUAUGUUCUUUAUAGCAAAAACAAAACAAAUAAACAAAACAAAUAAAUAAAAAUGGACUUCUUUUUCACCCUUCUGUCUCCAUUCCAGGAUCCAAUUCAGGAUCAUACAUUGAUCUAUUUGUCAUAUGUUUUUAGUUACCUUUACUUUGGAACGAUUUCCCUAAUAUUUAAUUAUCUUUUAUGAUCUUAACAUUUUUAGAGUUCUGGCCAUUCAUCUCAUAUAAUUUCCUUUGAUUUAGAUUUGUUUUAUAUUUUUGUAUGAUAAGAUUAAGCAUAUGCAUUUUGGGCCAGAAUACUAGAGAAGUCAACCUGUGGUCUUUUCAGUGCAACAUAAUAAAGACCCAUGAUAUUCAUGUGUCUCUGACUGAUGAUGUUAACUUUUAUCACUUGACUAAGAUGAUGUCAGUGAGGUUACUCCACUUUGAAGUUAGUUAAUAAGUAUUUUUAUUUAUUAACUGAUAUGUGUAAGUACUUUAUCAAUUAAUGAGUAAUUAAUCAUUGUUUUCUGGGGCAAAACUUUGACACUAUGUAUAAACCCUGUUUCCUCAAGCAUUUAUCCAUUAAUUUUAGCAUCUCCUGAUGAUCUUUCCUGAAUCAAUUAAUAUAAAUAGUGAUUUUCUAAUCUAUCAUAGAAAAUCUAAGCAAAGAAAUGGAGGAUAUAAAAAAUCAAAUAGAAAUUAUAGAACUGAAAAGUACAUUAACCAAAAUAAAAAAGCCACCAGAGAGGCCAAUGAUCAAUAUUCAGAAUUACUAUCACAGGGCAAAUAAUAACGGAACUUGAAGACAGAAGAGAACAGUGAAAAUAACCCAAACUGCACAACAGAGAGAAAAUAGACUGAAAGAAGUUAAUAGAAUCACAGGGAAUCAUCUGUAGAAAAAUAACAAAAAAUUUAACAUUUGUAUCAGCAGAGUCCCAAAAGGAAAAGAGAAAAAUGUGGGACUGAAAUAGUUUUCAAAGAAAUAAUAGACAUAAAUUUAUAGGUACAAGGAGCUGUGUGAACCCCAAACAGAAAUACAUAUCAAGACACAUCAGAAAUAAACUUCUGAGAACUACAGAUAAAGGGAAACUCUCAAAAGUAGUAAAAGAGAAAAGAUGAACUAAUUACAAGGGAGAACAGUAGCUAUCUCAAUUGAAACCAUGGAACCCAGAAGGAAGUGGCACACCUUUAAAGCAAUGAAAGAAAAAAAUAUAUAUUACUCCAGAUUUCUACAUCAAGCAAAGCUGUCCUUCCAGAAUAAAGGUGAAAUCAAGACAUUCUCAGAUGAAUGAAAACUAAGAAAUUUUGUUGCCAGUAGAGCUGCUCGUAAAAAUUCCCAAAAGAAGUUCUUCAGGCAGAAGGGAAGUGACACCAGAAGGAAACUUGAAAUACCAGGAGUGAAGAAGGAAUCAUAAAAGGAGUAAAUAUGGAAUGCAACACAACUAAUAUUACAUUUCUUCUGAUACUGGGACUUAAGAAGCAUCACACCUUCUGCUUUCACUCUUUUAGAAUCUUGAGGCCUCCAAGUUUUGCAGAAGUUCACACUAGCUUUCUAGAAGAGGAGAGGCCUCCUUGGGGCACACACAGUGAUGGCAUCAACUUCUAGGUAUGUGAGUAGGUUGUUUUGGGUGUUUCAUUUCCAUUUAAGCCAUAGAAGUGACCCUAGGCAAGACCAGGAGGAAAAUCACCAAGAUUUCAAAACCACAGAAUAGAGAAGUAAUAAAUCUUUGUUGUUUUAAGCCUGUUGCAAAUAAUUCUUAAGAAAAUAAAGAUAAGCCAGAGAUUUCGUGAGAAUAUUUCCAAAACACAUAUCUGAUAUAGAACUUAUAUCCAAAACAUAUAAAGAACACUGAUAAUUCAGUAAGAAACCACUCAGCCCAAUACAGAGAUGGGGGGUAUUUUUCUAUCAAUACUUCAACAUAGAAAAUAAAUGAAUGUCAAAAUAUAUAUGAAAAGGUGGGUAAAAUCAUUAGUCGUGGAAAUUAAUUACUACUUAGUAAUAAAAUGAAAUCAACUACUGACACAUACAAUAACAUAGAGGAAUCAAUAUAUGAUAAUGAAAACCAGAACAGCGGUUUUUCUCUCUGGGUGCAAGGCAGUAACUGGAAAAAGAGAGAAGUGAACAGUUUUUGUUGUAGAAAUGCUGUGUAUCUUAAUUAAGGUGGUGGUUACAUAGGUGUAUACAUUUGUCAAACCCAUCGAACUUUAAACUUACCAACUGUGUUUUUUCAGUAAAGGUAAAUCACAGCCCCCAAAAAAGAGAAAUGGAAAAAAUAAAUGAUAAAACAAGCUGAAAACGUUAAUAUAAAUUAUGAGCAAAUACAUAAUUUUUCUCAAAAUAUAAAGUACUUACAAAAACUGAAAUCAAAAUUUGUUAUUUAUAAAGACAAUCUUCUAAAACAAAGCAUUAUUCAGUCAGUCCUUGAACACUGUGGAUUUUAACUGCAUGAGUCCACUUAUUCAGGGAUUUUUUUUCAGUGUUAAAUACUACAUUACCAAAUGACCUGAGGUUGGUUGAGUCUACCAAAGUGGGACCACAUAUGUGGAGGAACCAAGUAUAUGGAGGGCCAACUCUGAGUUACACACAGACUUUUGGCUGCAAGGAGGAUUAGUGCCCCUAACUCCUGCAUUAUUUGAGGGUCAAUUAUAAUCAACUUUUGAGUUGUGAGCAUAUAUUUGUGAAAAAAAAUUAACCAUUGUAAAACUCUUCCUGCUACUUUAAUGGGAGGAACAGUGCACAGUGCAUAGAUACUUACAAGCUAACUACAGAAAUUUCUCCCUGACUCUAAUGUUCAAAUAACUUUAUCUUUUGUUUGAUAACAGUGAGGAAACUUCCAGAAAAUAUUGAGUGUUUUCCAGGGGUUGGUGUUUCUAUUGAUAGUGAAUUGUAGUGUAUGUAUUUAUAUAUGUGUAUGUGUGUAUACACACACACACAC